rnacentral:misc_RNA from 1 species
GAUGAAGAACGCAGCGAAAUGCGAUAAGUAAUGUGAAUUGCAGAAUUCAGUGAAUCAUCGAAUCUUUGAACGCACAUUGCGCCCCCUGGUAUUCCGGGGGGCAUGCCUGUUCGAGCGUCAUUACAACCCUCAAGCUCUGCUUGGUGUUGGGCCCCGCCGCCCCGGCGGGCCCUAAAAUCAGUGGCGGUGCCGUCCGGCUCCGAGCGUAGUAAUUCUUCUCGCUCUGGAGGUCCGGGUGUGUGCUCGCCAGCAACCCCCAAUUUUUUUCAGGUUGAACUCGGAUCAGGUAGGGAUACCCGCUGAACUUAAGCAUAUCAAUAAGCGGAGGA